CCUACGGGAGGCAGCAGUGGGGAAUAUUGGGCAAUGAGCGCAAGCCUGACCCAGCAACGCCGCGUGAAGGAAGAAGGCUUUCGGGUUGUAAACUUCUUUUCUGAGGGACGAAGAAAGUGACGGUACCUCAGGAAUAAGCCACGGCUAACUACGUGUCAGCAGCCGCGGUAAUACGUAGGUGGGAAGCGGUAUCCGGAUGUAUUGGGUGGAAAGGGCGUGUAGGCGGGAAUGCAAGUCAGAUGUGAAAACUCAGGGCCGAACCCUGGGCCUGCAUUUGAUACUGUUUAUCUUGAGUGCUGGAGAGGCAAUCGGAAUUCCGUGUGUAGCGGUGAAAUGCGUAGAUAUACGGAGGAACACCAGAGGCGAAGGCGGAUUGCUGGACAGUAACUGACGCUGAGGCGCGAAAGCGUGGGGAGCAAACAGGAUUAGAUACCCGGGUAGUC
rnacentral:rRNA from 1 species